rnacentral:lncRNA from 1 species
CACUGGAGGCACAGAACCAAUGACCAGCCAUCAUAACACAAGAACGCAGAAGAUGUUGAAGGUGAAAUCUGACAAAUUUAAGUCAGUAUGAUGCACUGAUCCACUGAACUUCAGUGACUUAUUCUUCAGCUAUUCUACUUCUACUCCAACCUUCUGAGCAUCACUCAGCUCACAUUAUGAGCUAUCACUUUCUAGCCUUAAAAAGUUACGAUCCACAAAGACAGAAGCAGCAAACCUUGUGGAUCUUAACUUAACAGGUAAACGUCUCCCCUGUCUCCCCCUCCAAGAUUGCCAGGUUUUCUUCUGGAUGCUCAUCACAGCUCUACAAAGAAAUACAGUCUGGAAAUUAAAAGAGGAUAUUUCCUUAACAAAAAUAAGCUGUUGGGGAAAUAUCUGCUCAGUCUAGUGUGUUUGGAACGCUGAAACCUGGCAUUAUGUCUUUCAUUUAAUAAAGACUAGAUUUUCCUAACAUCUCUUCCAGCUUCAUUACUUUAAGAAGGGAUGUCUUUAAAGCAAGUAUGAAGAGAUAAACAAUAACAGCAGCCAAAUGCGAUGCUUAAAGGCAGAUUUUUAUUUAAUCCCAAACCAGACCCGCCUGUGAAUGCUAAGUUUUACUGAACGAUCUGUUUUUUCUGAAGCAUUUAAUGCGACACGUCACUGACCAUGUGCUGUGAGUCAUUUGACACUAACUGAGAAGUUUGCUUUAAACAUGAAAGAUCUAGCCUUUGGGGUAAUGUGAUACUUAGUGUAAAAAGAUUAUUCACAGCUUGAAGUUUUGCCAGGCAGAUUUGGGGAUUGUAAUACUGCAGAAUGAAUAGGUGUGUAAUUAUGCUUCUUUGGCCCCAGUGCUUUUAUUUUUCACAUGGACUUCUGGCCCGAGCACGGCCUUCGUGGAUGACAUUUAUGUAGUUAAAGUGAAAUCUGAGUGCUAGAAGCCCGCUCUUCCUCCGUGUUUGAUCAGCUUGUUUAAAAUCCCUCAGCACACGGAGCAAAGGUGCCAGAUUUCUCUUGACAUUUUGGUUUGAUGACUGACAGCGGACUGGCAAUGUUGGCCAUUUAAUGAGAUUUAUCCAGAAAGGCCAAUCUGCUGAUCCGCAGCGAUGCAGUGGCAUUUCUCUCACUAUAGAUUGAUCGAUAAGUAGCCAGACCUUCCCCCAAAGGCUAAACA